rnacentral:rRNA from 1 species
GAUGAACGCUAGCGGCAGGCUUAAUACAUGCAAGUCGUACGGGAUCCGAGGUAGCAAUACUUUGGUGAGAGUGGCGCACGGGUGCGUAACACGUAUGCAACCUACCUAUAACCGGGACACAACCUCGAGAAAUUGAGGCUAAUAUCCCAUAACACUGCGAGAUGGCAUCAUUUUGCAGUUAAAACUCCGGUGGUUAUAGAUGGGCAUGCGCGACAUUAGCUAGUUGGUGAGGUAACGGCCACCAAGGCUACGAUGUCUAGGGGUUCUGAGAGGAUUAUCCCCCACACUGGUACUGAGACACGGACCAGACUCCUACGGGAGGCAGCAGUAAGGAAUAUUGGUCAAUGGGCGCAAGCCUGAACCAGCCAUGCCGCGUGAAGGAUGACGGCCCUAUGGGUUGUAAACUUCUUUUGUACGGGAAAAAACCUCUGGUCGUGAAUCAGAGCUGAUGGUACCGUAAGAAUAAGCAUCGGCUAACUCCGUGCCAGCAGCC